rnacentral:tRNA from 1 species
GCGCUCGUAGCUCAAUUGGAUAGAGUAACUGGCUUCGAACCAGUAGGUUGGAGGUUCGAGUCCUCCCGGGCGCA